CAACAUCUUAAAAGAAUAAAGUAUCUGCUAGUCCUCCUGGAAUUAUUGAGGGUUUGGGCUCAAAGAAAAGCUGAAUAACAUGUCAGAUUUACAGUGAGCCAGACCAUUAAUCAAUCAACAGAGGUUUCCAUUAAUCAUCAAAAGUGAUAAACAUAGAUAGUAGGCAUGGUGCUGGUUGAGAAUCUAGAGAGAAAUAAAUAUCAAAAUGCUUUACCCUCAUUCUGGUACCUCCUUAUCAUUAUUUUGACCUAGCAGUUUUAAUUUGGAGUACUAGAUGAAAAUACUAGGUUAUCUUUGAAAUUUUAGCUUCUGCUUCCUCCAGAGAGAAACUCAUGUAUUUAAGAAAUGUUGUCAUUGGUUUGGGCUUGGGGCCUUUCCAUGUGUGACAGACCACAGCAUGCUCCUUUUAAUAAAACAAAAGGACAAUAACAGCAGCAGCAGCAACAAAGCCUAGAGUUCACUUCUGAGGUCAGAUAUUGAGCAGAGUGUUAAGGGCAUGGCUUUCUUUAGGCCUAACUCUGAGGUUAGUGGAGGGUUUGCAGGACUGUGAAGCACAGCGAGAAACAAAGCUGAAAUCCAUUUCCAAUCUGGUCUUUGGAGAUAAUACAACUGGGCUGGUGACAGGAUAGCUUCCUAUCUAGUCUGAACAUUGAAUAGUAAUAUUUUCAUACAUAUUAAACUCUAAGAUAG
rnacentral:lncRNA from 1 species